GACGAACGCUGGCGGCGUGCUUAACACAUGCAAGUCGAACGAGUGGCGAACGGGUGAGUAAUACGUGAGUAACCUGCCCUCUUUUUGGGAUAAGCCUUGGAAACGGGGUCUAAAACCGGAUAAAGGGGGAUGGGCUCGCGGCCUAUCAGCUUGUUGGUGGGUUGAUGGCCUACCAAGGCGGUGACGGGUAGCCGGCAUGAGAGGGUGACCUGCCACAUUGGGACUGACAUACGGCCUAUGCUCCUACGGGAUGCAGCAUUGUGGGAUAUGGCACAAUGGGUGAAGGACUGAUGCCGCGUGUCUGCGUGGGGGAUGCGGGCUUUCGGGUUGUAAACGUGUUUCGCUAGCGAAUGGUUAGGUGGAGAAGAAGCGCCGGCUAACUCCGUGCCAGCAGCCGCGGUAAUAC
rnacentral:rRNA from 1 species